rnacentral:rRNA from 1 species
AAAUUGAAGAGUUUGAUCAUGGCUCAGAUUGAACGCUGGCGGCAGGCCUAACACAUGCAAGUCGAACGGUAACACAGAGGAGCUUGCUCCUUGGGUGACGAGUGGCGGACGGGUGAGUAAUGUCUGGGAAACUGCCCGAUGGAGGGGGAUAACUACUGGAAACGGUAGCUAAUACCGCAUAA